rnacentral:snRNA from 1 species
UACUUUGCGCAGUGGCAAUGUCGUAGCCAAUGAGGUUAAUCCGAGGCACCAUUAUUGCUAAUUGAAAACUUUUCCCGCAGGGCCAUCGAUUUGUUGUGACCACUAUAGAGGUGUGAGUACAUUGCAGCUGAACCAGGAACAGGCAACAACAACAACAACAAUUUAUUAUUUGUACCCCGCCCAUCUGG